AGAGAGCCCAACGUCGAAGGAGUAGCGACCCACGACGGCCCCGAGUCAUGCGUCGUCGCCCGCGAGGGCGCCGGCGAAGCGUUCGACAGGGGCACGUGCGGGCCGGGUAUUGAGCCGCGAAAUGCACAGGUUCAGGGCGCCGACGCCGUUAUCUGUGGCGGAAGGCAACACGUGCGACGUCGCCAGCGCGAGACGUCGCACGGCCCUGCGCGGUCGGAGACCC
rfam:Minicystis rosea strain DSM 24000, complete genome.